rnacentral:lncRNA from 1 species
CCGUGGCCCUGUAGCCUCUAAGAGCGAUGUUAGAGGGAGGUCCUGGGUGAGGACAUGGUACAGAGCACAGUCCCCCAAGGCCUGGUCCCAAGACCACUGAAUGCAGAAAGAAAAAGUGUUUCAACAAACAGUGCUGGGACAACUGGAUAUCCACAUGCAAAUAAAGGAAGGUGAACCCCCACCACCCACCAUGAGGCCCAGAGGAGGGUGAGGCCCCCACCUCUGAGGCCUCAGUUUCCUCAUCUGUAAAGGGGGCUCCCCAUGUUAACACCCUCCUCGUGGGGUCUUCAGGAAGCUCAAUGAGGUCCCCUAAGUGGCAGCUGUCACCAUCCUGUCACUCAGGAGGCUGACCAGCAAGUCCAAUGACACGACAGGUCACAGAGGCUCCCAUAUUUGCAUGUCUCUGGGGUCAGCACGCUCACCGCACGGGGGUACGGGGACUCCCAGGGAGCACAGAGCCGUGGUGCAUCUCACAGCCAAGCGUUCUCAACUACAUGAAACUGGGGAGCUGAAACGUGCACGGCAGCACACGUGCACACCGGGUCACAGGGACUGGCUGUGUCUAGACACUGCCAAGCGUCCCCAGACAACAUGCCUGGCUGAGGGCAUUGCUCUAGGAAGCUGCCGGGCUGGGGUGGGCCUGACGAUCCAUCUCUGGAUCGUGGGUAGAGGUGUAUGAGCCCCGGGGGCAGCAAGGGCUGAGAAGGGCCAAGGAGCUGGCGGGAUGCGCGGUGAGAACAGGACCACUGUGGGCCAUGCACUCCAGGCCGGGUGAAGAGGGAGCGAGGGCCUGUGGCAGGGCAAGGGCUGGGAGCCGAGCACGCGAAUGGUGGAAAGUGCCAGGGGCCGGCGUGUGGAAAUGGCGAGGCCAUUGCACUGGAGGGGUUCCCAUGAGUCUCUUUCCCCCAGAAGAAAAGGACUUAGGAGAAUCCUUAACCUCAUCCCUAAGUCUCUGCCAGCACACCCGCCCUCCAGGACACAUGCCAUCCACCGCCCUAGCCGUCCCCAGUGCCAGCAUUACUGCCACGUAUUAAUUUCAAAGAAGCAUUUGUGCACCAAAGUACCCAGAGAAAUGCACAAACCCUAAAAAACAACAUGAAACAGGACGCGCAGAGGGGAGCCAGACGCACCCAGGCAGGAGACAGCAUUUUCAAGCAGCUGAGCAUCCGACCGCGGCCAACAACCCAGGGGGCAGACCUGCUGUGGAGAGACGAGGAAGACCAAACACAGACUCAGGCAUAUGCGGAGACUGUGUGGGGAGCAGAGGGGGUUUCCCAAGGCAGUGGGGUAAGCAGGGACCUUUUUUUUAGACGGGG